rnacentral:lncRNA from 1 species
GUGGCUUAAUUGGAGGGUGCUGCUCAAUCGAAUGAGAGACGUUGAUUUAUGCAUAGAAAGAAAGAAAAAACUCGCCGAAUCGAUUCUAACUGGAUCCUUCGAUGCCUAAGUCAGAUUAGAUUUUGAAAAAACAACAGUAAAAAAAAUAUAAUAAAAAAUUAUGAUGUAAAAUGUUAUCAUAUUCUGAUCGAUUUUUAUCUCGAUCUUUUCAAUUUGGCUUUUUCAAAUCGAUUUUAGGAUCGAUCAUUAGGAGCUCAGCCUUUACGGCUAUUCUAAGUC